rnacentral:rRNA from 1 species
UGUGUAGGCGGUUCCCUAAGUUUGGUGUGAAAUCUCCCGGCUCAACUGGGAGGGUGCGCCGAAAACUGGGGGGCUAGAGUGUGGGAUGGGAGAGUGGAAUUCCUGGUGUAGCGGUGAAAUGCGUAGAUAUCAGGAGGAACACCUGUGGUGUAGACGGCUCUCUGGACCGCAACUGACGCUGAGACACGAAAGCGUGGGUAGCAAACAGGAUUAGAUACCCUGGUAGUCCACGCCCUAAACGAUGCAUAUUUGGUGUGGGCCAUUCAUUUGGUCCGUGCCGGAGCUAACGCGUUAAAUAUGCCGCCUGGGGAGUACGGUCGCAAGGCUGAA